AGGAAGUGCUCACUGAGGAUGUUCCUGUUCCGCGGACCGAAGCAGAGCUCGGCCACGCUACAAUGAGGGACUGACAGGAGGGAGCGCUGUGUGCUUCCCUCCUGAUGAUCCCUCUUUUCUUGUGUGUCCUCAUGGACGUGCUAGCCCGAGCAGUGCUAUAGCCGCCUGAGGCUCUCUGUAGAGCACUCAGGCAGCUGCAACAUUUGAGUGGGUGGCGCUUCUGGCGGCACCCCUUAUUAAGGGGCGUACUAGGCGACUGCCUAAGUCACCUAUAAGAGGCGCCGGACCUGAUGAUAGUCGUAGAAAGCGUAGUCUCCAUAUUUAUAAGUUAGGUCCACCAGCUUGUGCAAGUAUAAAUCCAGUUCCUCUCUAAAUAAUCCAAAAGCUAAAACAAACUCGGGAAUAUUUAAUUUCCUGUUAAGUCUGGGGUCUCUAGACUUCAUUAUCACAGAUAAAUCACCAAACUUGUUUUACAUUAUAUCCUGUGACGCAAUGAGAAGAGGGGCCAAAUUAACAUCUUUACCUUCUAAUAUGUCACUUUUUAAAUUUUGUGGGAUAAGAUGUACUGGGUUGAUGAUAUUAGUACUCUUAGCAGGUAGAGGAUUAGAGUUUCCUCCUGAACUUCUGAAUGUGCUAUGGGAAGUUGGACAUCCGGGAUGCUUGUUUGGUUAGUGGAUUUCAGAUUAUCCAAACAGUUGUUUUGACAAACUAUUUGGGAUAUUACAUUCAGAACUAGGGCCAGGCCUUUCAUUAUCAUUAUGCGUGUUUAACAAGCGAAAUAGUUCAGCUUUCCUGGCUGUGGCAGGAAAGGGAAUGUUCCUUCUUUUAAGUUCUGCUGUGAUUUUAGGAAUUGUCCAAGAUCUGUAGCUGGACGCUGGGCUGGCUACAACUGUUUUCUUUGUCUGGGAAUUAGAUCUGGUUGGGGUGCUGGUAAGUGACAGGUCAUCUCCUUGAAGUGAAGCGUUAGACAUGCAAUGGGUGCGAAGGAAAUGACUUGGUUAUUAUGUAAUCCUGAUAGAUAUGAAGUAACCCAGCUCACUAGUAUAAGGCCAAGAGUGAAAUUAUAUUAUUACAACUAGUUAGGUGACAGGUGAUGCCCUAACUAAUUGCCAAGUGGCUUUGAGAAGCUAUACCUAUGAUUUGGCUUGUGGGGGCUUUUUUGAUGCCACAAACGUGGCGGGUGUUGGCCUCUCUGGGACAUUUAUAAGAUUUAAGAUAGGUUGGCCAUGACAGGUGCAAGGCACUAACUAUGCGUUGGGCUGUUGGGCUUGUACCUCCGAGGGUGAGGAUGGGAGUUGGCCUUGCGGAACCACUCAACUGAGGCGAAGAGGCCUAUGAAGAAAUUAUUCCUAAUUGGUGAGGAUUUCUAUAAUGGUUACUUCAUAUCUUGUAAGGUUAAUAAUAAAAAUGUAUCCGUAUUUUUUAACCCGUACCUUGCUAGUGAACUGGUAGGGCGUAUUUAAGUACUUGGGACGUUUUUUUCCAUUGACCUAAAC